rnacentral:rRNA from 1 species
GAGUAACACGUGGGUAACCUGCCCAUAAGACUGGGAUAACUCCGGGAAACCGGGGCUAAUACCGGAUAAUAUUUUGAACUGCAUGGUUCGAAAUUGAAAGGCGGCUUCGGCUGUCACUUAUGGAUGGACCCGCGUCGCAUUAGCUAGUUGGUGAGGUAACGGCUCACCAAGGCAACGAUGCGUAGCCGACCUGAGAGGGUGAUCGGCCACACUGGGACUGAGACACGGCCCAGACUCCUACGGGAGGCAGCAGUAGGGAAUCUUCCGCAAUGGACGAAAGUCUGACGGAGCAACGCCGCGUGAGUGAUGAAGGCUUUCGGGUCGUAAAACUCUGUUGUUAGGGAAGAACAAGUGCUAGUUGAAUAAGCUGGCACCUUGACGGUACCUAACCAGAAAGCCACGGCUAACUACGUGCCAGCAGCCGCGGUAAUACGUAGGUGGCAAGCGUUAUCCGGAAUUAUUGGGCGUAAAGCGCGCGCAGGUGGUUUCUUAAGUCUGAUGUGAAAGCCCACGGCUCAACCGU